AGACAACAACCCGACCAAAUAAAAAAACAACAGCAGAAGGUCACCAACAGGUCUUCAAUGUAGCGAGAAAUUCCCGCACCCGGAGGCGUCCUUCAGCUGGCCCCUAAACAAAUAUAUACUAGUUCAGUGAUAAUGAACGCCAUACUAAUUUCCAAAUUGUACACAAGAAACUAAUAAAAAAAUAAUACAAGACUAACAAAGGCCAGAGGCUCCUGACUUGGGACAGGCGCAAAAAUGCGGCGGGGUUAAACAUGUUUGUGAGAUCUCAACCCUCCCUCUAUACCUCUAACCAAUGUAGAAAAAUAAACGCAUAACAAUACGCACAUUAAAAUUCAGUUCAAGAGAAGUCCGAGUCUGAUGUCAGAAGAUGCAACCA
rnacentral:lncRNA from 1 species